rnacentral:rRNA from 1 species
CAAUAGCGUAUAUUAAAGUUGUUGCAGUUAAAAAGCUCGUAGUUGAAUUUCUGGUGGGCGCGCCGGUCUUCCAAGUGUUGUACUGGGCGCAGUCCGCCAUCCUUGUGGAGAGGGCUCGCAUUGAGUUGCGUGUCGGAUCUGCAUCAUUUACUGUGAAAAAAUUAGAGUGUUUAAAGCAGGCUGUCGCUUGAAUACAUUAGCAUGGAAUAAUAAGAUAGGACUUUGGUACUAUUUUGUUGGUUUGCAUACCAAAUUAAUGAUCAACAGGAACAGUUUGAGGAUAUUCGUAUGAACAUGUCAGAGGUGAAAUUCUUGGAUUUUGAUCAGACGAACUACUGCGAAAGCAUUUAUCAAGGAUGUUUUCAUUAA